rnacentral:rRNA from 1 species
CCUACGGGAGGCAGCAGUGAGGAAUAUUGGUCAAUGGGCGUAAGCCUGAACCAGCCAAGUCGCGUAAGGGAUGAAGGUUCUAUGGAUCGUAAACUUCUUUUAUAAGGGAAUAAAGUUCGGGACGUGUCCCGUUUUGUAUGUACCUUAUGAAUAAGCAUCGGCUAACUCCGUGCCAGCAGCCGCGGUAAUACGGAGGAUCCGAGCGUUAUCCGGAUUUAUUGGGUUUAAAGGGUGCGUAGGCGGCCUUUUAAGUCAGCGGUGAAAGUCUGUGGCUCAACCAUAGAAUUGCCGUUGAAACUGGGAGGCUUGAGUAUGGUUGAGGCAGGCGGAAUGCGUGGUGUAGCGGUGAAAUGCUUAGAUAUCACGCAGAACCCCGAUUGCGAAGGCAGCCUGCUAAGCCAUGACUGACGCUGAUGCACGAAAGCGUGGGGAUCAAACAGGAUUAGAUACCCGAGUAGUC